UCGUAUGACGGGGUAUCCGGCCUGAGAGGGUGAACGGACACACUGGAACUGAGACACGGUCCAGACUCCUACGGGAGGCAGCAGUAGGGAAUAUUGCUCAAUGGGGGAAACCCUGAAGCAGCAACGCCGCGUGGAGGAUGAAGGUUUUAGGAUUGUAAACUCCUUUUGUUAGAGAAGAUAAUGACGGUAUCUAACGAAUAAGCACCGGCUAACUCCGUGCCAGCAGCCGCGGUAAUACGGAGGGUGCAAGCGUUACUCGGAAUCACUGGGCGUAAAGAGCGCGUAGGCGGGAUAGUCAGUCAGGUGUGAAAUCCUAUGGCUUAACCAUAGAACUGCAUUUGAAACUACUUANNUUCUA
rnacentral:rRNA from 1 species